GAGUCCGUGGUGGGUUCUACUGAGACAGAGAGUGACGAAGAAGAUUAUCUCGCUGGGUUAACUCGUCAAAUGGGUCACUCUACUCUCGAAAACGGUAUUCGCCGAAAUGAGCGUGUUUUUGCUUCUAAAAACCCUAAGGGUUGGGUCUGGCCAAGUUCGCCGCAAUCUACGCUAUGUCCGUCGAGAAGCGGAUGCGGUUGCAUGCAAGGGUCUAGCCGUGGAAGCCCUACUUGUCAGUCUCGGGUUUUCGUCGCCGCCGGAAACGUGGGAUCUGCUUUAUGCGGCGGCAGGGGAAGUUGCUAGGAUGCCCGUGAAUGAAGAAGCAUACGGCGUAUUCAACAACAGAGGCCUAUUACGUUCGCCGGCUACAAAGCUCUCUCAAAACUUCGAUGUUUCCGGCUUUUACCCGCAUCCCCAGUCACUUUCUCACCAGAAGCUGCACGCCGCUCAAUUUCAGAUACUGAAGCAACAGCAACUAAUGAACCAAAUAAAUGCACAAAAGCAAUAUCAGCAGCAACCACGCCAUCACCAUGUGGUCCAAAACAGAGUGAGGAGUAACAAUGGUACUAAUAGGCCUAUGGGUUUGUCUCCUUCUGCAUUCCCCCCUCUGCAGCAACAGAAAAACCGGAUGGCAAACGGGUCGGGUAUGCAGGCUGUUUACUUGAACAAUGCGACUGCCAAAAGGGAAUGUGCUGGAACUGGUGUUUUCUUGCCCCCCCGUAUUGGUGCACCUUCUGAACACCGCAAGAAGCCAGCUUGUCCUACUGUUCUGCUUCCAGCCAGAGUUGUUCAGGCCUUGAACUUGAAUCUCAAUGAGAUUGAGGCCCAACCCCAACUUCAUCCUCGUUUCAACGCAAAUUUCACUGCAGAUACUGAUGCUGCUAUGAAGAAGCUUCAAAGUGGUGAGAAUGUAUUUGCGAAUCAAAAACAACGCAAUUUCAGGCAACACCAAGGAAUAAAUCACGAAGUGGGGUUACCUCAGGAAUGGACAUAUUGACCGACUCUCAACUUAGCACAUCUGCCAGUGGUGGAGUUUAUAGUGAAAUAGAAGUAUAUGCUUUUAAGGAAAAUCUCUGGGUAAUUUUAAGAAAGAUUAAAUGGUUAUUUGGGUUAGGCUUAGGUGAAAAAUAAAGUAAGAAUCUUUAUCUACGAAGCAGCUUUUGUAUGGGGGAAACACAGUAAGAUGAUAUGAUGAAAUAUAGAACGGGUUUACGCUUUUGUAAAUCUGGGAUUUGGGUCAAUAAGUUCAUGAAUUUUGUCGUUGACAAGUGAAAAUGUUUAAUGAAAUUAAGGGGGACA